rnacentral:rRNA from 1 species
UACGUAGGGUGCGAGCGUUGUCCGGAAUUAUUGGGCGUAAAGAGCUCGUAGGCGGUGUGUCGCGUCGGCCGUGAAAACCUGGGGCUUAACUCUGGGCGUGCGGUCGAUACGGGCAUCACUAGAGUUCGGCAGGGGAGACUGGAAUUCCUGGUGUAGCGGUGAAAUGCGCAGAUAUCAGGAGGAACACCGGUGGCGAAGGCGGGUCUCUGGGCCGAUACUGACGCUGAGGAGCGAAAGCGUGGGGGAGCGAACAGG